rnacentral:rRNA from 1 species
UACGUAGGGUGCGAGCGUUAAUCGGAAUUACUGGGCGUAAAGCGUGCGCAGGCGGUCCGCAAAGUCUGAUGUGAAAUCCCCGGGCUCAACCUGGGAACUGCAUUUGUGACUGCAUCGCUGGAGUACGGCAGAGGGGGAUGGAAUUCCGCGUGUAGCAGUGAAAUGCGUAGAUAUGCGGAGGAACACCGAUGGCGAAGGCAAUCCCCUGGGCCUGUACUGACGCUCAUGCACGAAAGCGUGGGGAGCAAACAGG